rnacentral:rRNA from 1 species
CCGUAACUAUAACGGUCCUAAGGUAGCGAAAUUCCUUGUCGGGUAAGUUCCGACCUGCACGAAUGGCGUAAUGAUGGCCAGGCUGUCUCCACCCGAGACUCAGUGAAAUUGAACUCGCUGUGAAGAUGCAGUGUACCCGCGGCAAGACGGAAAGACCCCGUGAACCUUUACUAUAGCUUGACACUGAACACUGGUCCUUGAUGUGUAGGAUAGGUGGGAGGCUUUGAAGCGUGGACGCCAGUCUGCGUGGAGCCAACCUUGAAAUACCACCCUUUAAUGGCUGGUGUUCUAACGUAGACCCGUAAUCCGGGUUGCGGACAGUGUCUGGUGGGUAGUUUGACUGGGGCGGUCUCCUCCCAAAGAGUAACGGAGGAGCACGAAGGUUAGCUAAUCCUGGUCGGACAUCAGGAGGUUAGUGCAAUGGCAUAAGCUAGCUUGACUGCGAGAGUGACGGCUCGAGCAGGUGCGAAAGCAGGUCAUAGUGAUCCGGUGGUUCUGAAUGGAAGGGCCAUCGCUCAACGGAUAAAAGGUACUCCGGGGAUAACAGGCUGAUACCGCCCAAGAGUUCAUAUCGACGGCGGUGUUUGGCACCUCGAUGUCGGCUCAUCACAUCCUGGGGCUGAAGUAGGUCCCAAGGGUAUGGCUGUUCGCCAUUUAAAGUGGUACGCGAGCUGGGUUUAGAACGUCGUGAGACAGUUCGGUCCCUAUCUGCCGUGGGCGCUGGAGAAUUGAGGGGGGCUGCUCCUAGUACGAGAGGACCGGAGUGGACGCAUCACUGGUGUUCGGGUUGUCAUGCCAAUGGCACUGCCCGGUAGCUAAAUGCGGAAGAGAUAAGUGCUGAAAGCAUCUAAGCACGAAACUUGCCCCGAGAUGAGUUCUCCCUGAGACUUUAAGUCUCCUGAAGGAACGUUGAAGACUACGACGUUGAUAGGUCGGGUGUGUAAGCGCAGCGAUGCGUUGAGCUAACCGAUACUAAUGAACCGUGAGGCUUAACCUU